AUGGAGAACGACAGGAACAACCAGGCUCCGCCACCGCCCCCAGGCUACUACCCGUCGGCGGCUGCGGAGCAAAGGCAAGCCGGCGGCGGGAAGAAGGGCCGCCGGGGAAGCACCAAAUCCAAGGGCGAGAAGGGCUUCAUCGAGGGAUGCCUGGCGGCGCUGUGCUGCUGCUGGAUCUGCAAGAUGUGCUGCGACUGGCCGCCGAGGUCGCUGCCGGCCAAGACAUUGGUGCCAGUGCCUAUGAAGAACAUACACAUACAGAGAGAGUCGUUGCUUAAUUACAGUGUUUGUUUGUUUGUUUGUUUGUUGUUUUAG
rnacentral:rRNA from 1 species